AGAGUUUGAUCAUGGCUCAGAUUGAACGCUGGCGGAAUGCUUUACACAUGCAAGUCGAACGGCAGCAUAGGUGCUUGCACCUGAUGGCGAGUGGCGAACGGGUGAGUAAUACAUCGGAACGUGCCCAGUCGUGGGGGAUAACGUAGCGAAAGUUACGCUAAUACCGCAUACGAUCUACGGAUGAAAGCGGGGGACCGCAAGGCCUCGCGCGAUUGGAGCGGCCGAUGUUAGAUUAGGUAGUUGGUGGGGUAAAGGCUCACCAAGCCGACGAUCUAUAGCUGGUCUGAGAGGAUGAUCAGCCACACUGGGACUGAGACACGGCCCAGACUCCUACGGGAGGCAGCAGUGGGGAAUUUUGGACAAUGGGCGCAAGCCUGAUCCAGCCAUUCCGCGUGCAGGACGAAGGCCUUCGGGUUGUAAACUGCUUUUGUACAGAACGAAAAGCUCUGGGUUAAUACCCUGGGGUCAUGACGGUACUGUAAGAAUAAGCACCGGCUAACUACGUGCCAGCAGCCGCGGUAAU
rnacentral:rRNA from 1 species